CCCUGGUUAGCUCAGUUAAUAGAGCGCUCCACUGGAAAUGGAGAGGUCUCGGGUUCGAUACCCGGGCCAGGGG
rnacentral:tRNA from 1 species